rnacentral:rRNA from 1 species
UUGAAAGGGAAACGAUUGAAGUCAGUCGUACCCUCGGGUAAUCAGCCUUUUGGGUGUGAUUUUGUGGAGCGUGAAGAGUUAAACGCCUUCAUGCCUGCAUAUUCGUGCAUUUUGGGUGUACUUGCCCGUAUGGUUGGUUAACAUCAAUUUUGGUGGUCAUAAAAUGACUGGAGGAAUGUAGCUUCGAUCUCGUAUUGAAGUGUUAUAGCCUUCGGUAGAUGUGAUGAUCGAGAUUGAGGAUUGCAACGGAUACCCUUCGGGGCUACCUGUCUGAUCUCUGAUCGUUACUCUGGUGCCGAAAGCUUGCUUACGGUUAUCAAAGUCGAUGGUCAAUAGGUUAGAACGGGUUAAAUUCGUUAAGGAUGUUGACGUA